rnacentral:rRNA from 1 species
AUGCCUAACACAUGCAAGUCGAACGCCUCUCUUCGGAGAGGAGUGGCGCACGGGUGAGUAACGCGUGGGAACCUGCCCAGGGGUGGGGGAUAACCGAUGGAAACGUCGGCUAAUACCGCAUACGUCCUUAGGGAGAAAGAUUUAUCGCCCAUGGAGGGGCCCGCGUCGGAUUAGCUAGUUGGUGGGGUAACGGCCUACCAAGGCGAUGAUCCGUAGCUGGUCUGAGAGGAUGAUCAGCCACACUGGGACUGAGACACGGCCCAG